UGCAUUCGGCUUUAUUGAGUGUUCUGGA
rnacentral:sRNA from 1 species